UUAGAUUUAGUUUAAUUAAAAUAUUCAGUUUUGGUCUAUAAGAUUUAUCUAAG
rnacentral:tRNA from 1 species